AAGUUCCGAGUCCCGAGCUUAAUAGAGUGCGCACGCGGUUUGCAAUUUCAUUGAAAAUCCAUGGCAUUUACCGCCGUACAUGCAAAAUGGUUUUUGAACUCACGUUUGCUCGGAGGUUAAUAAUAAGCUACAAACACUUUUAGAUUGCUAUUAUUAACGUUAUACUUGUAUAUAAAUUGUAGUUAUACGUAAAAUAAGUGUCGAAACAUGGACAUUGAGCGGAUAAACUUUAGUCAAGAUGAAGAUGAGCCCCAAGCACGUGACGAGCACAAAGUAAAUAAGAGAAUUCAGGAUUAUAAGGAUACCAUGUCACUAAUUAAGUUGAAAAUGAACAAAGCCGAUGCAUUAAUAAGGCAGUAUAAUGAUAAAAUA